UACGUAGGGUGCGAGCGUUGUCCGGAAUUAUUGGGCGUAAAGAGCUCGUAGGCGGCUUGUCACGUCGGAUGUGAAAGCUCGGGGCUUAACCCCGAGUCUGCAUUCGAUACGGGCUAGCUAGAGUGUGGUAGGGGAGAUCGGAAUUCCUGGUGUAGCGGUGAAAUGCGCAGAUAUCAGGAGGAACACCGGUGGCGAAGGCGGAUCUCUGGGCCAUUACUGACGCUGAGGAGCGAAAGCUAGGGGAGCAAACGGG
rnacentral:rRNA from 1 species